CUACGGGGGGCACCAGUGAGGAAUAUUGGUCAAUGGGCGCAAGCCUGAACCAGCCAUGCCGCGUGCAGGAUGACUGCCCUAUGGGUUGUAAACUGCUUUUGUACAGGAAGAAUCCCUCGUACGUGUACGAGAUUGACUGUACUGUAUGAAUAAGCAUCGGCUAACUCCGUGCCAGCAGCCGCGGUAAUACGGAGGAUGCAAGCGUUAUCCGGAUUUAUUGGGUUUAAAGGGUGCGUAGGCGGGGAAAUAAGUCAGUGGUGAAAUCUUACAGCUUAACUGUGAAAUUGCCGUUGAUACUGUUUCCCUUGAGUUCAGUUGAGGUGGGCGGAAUGUGUAGUGUAGCGGUGAAAUGCUUAGAUAUUACACAGAACACCAAUUGCGAAGGCAGCUCACUAAACUGUUACUGACGCUGAGGCACGAAAGCGUGGGGAGCGAACAGGAUUAGAUACCCUAGUAGUC
rnacentral:rRNA from 1 species